rnacentral:rRNA from 1 species
AUACGGAAGGUCCGGGCGUUAUCCGGAUUUAUUGGGUUUAAAGGGAGCGCAGGCGGAGAUGCAAGCGUGACGUCAAAUUUCGGGGCUCAACCCCGUCUCGCGUCGCGAACUGCGUCCCUUGGUUGCGGGAAGGGGAGGCGGAACUCGUGGUGUAGCGGUGAAAUGCAUAGAUAUCACGAAGAACUCCGAUCGCGAAGGCAGCCUUCCGGCCCGUCAACGACGCUCAUGCUCGAAGGUGCGGGUAUCAAACAGGAGUAGAUACCCUGGUAGUCCGCACAGUAAACGAUGGACACCCGCGGUUUGGCCUGUAUGGCUGAGCCGCCAAGCGAAAGCGUUAAGUGUCCCACCUGGGGAGUACGCCGGCAACGGUGAAACUCAAAUGAAUUGACGGGG